GAGACUCUCCGGAGGUGCAUCAAUACCGAUAUCCGUAAGAGUUAUGUUCUUGCAGUUAAGGAUGUUCAUGUGGAAAAGCUUGCUGUUUGUUGAUGUAAUACUGUUAAUCUUUGAGUUUGUUAGACCAGUGAAUCGGAUGUUCUGUUACAAAAAAUAUCAUAAUAUUCAUCAAGUCAUAUAUUCCAUGAAAAUAAUAACGUUUUUAUUGUAAUUAUGUAAAAUUGAAUGUGCUUACGAUAGGGAGAGAGUUGCAUUUGCCGGUUUUGGCGCAGUCAUUGGCCUUCCAAGCGAGGGACCCUUGACCGUCAAAAAUAGCUUUGUUUCCAUUCAAAGUGAAAUCAGCGAGAUUUUCGAAAUCAAUCCAUCCGGCAUGAGGCUUAGUGGUCUUGACCGUAGCCGGAGCCUUAAAAUUGCCAUUCAAUUCCAAAGUGACUGGACCUUUGCAUGGACCUUUGAACUCUAGGCUCUCUACCAAAUACUCACCUUUUGGCACUGUAAUCGUGCUCCCUGCUGCACAAGCUUCUUUCCAUGCAGCCGCAAAUGCCUAUACAUGCAUGCAUGAAUCAACGUGAAAUUCUUUCUUAAACAAUACAAAAUCGAAAUAUAAUAUAAAAUAUACAACAAACAUUUGGUACAUACCGCACUAUCAUCAGUUUUGCCGUCUCCUUUGGCUCCUGAUGCUUUAACAUCAAGUGAUGCACCGCCUGGUUUGGCACCUGUUACUUUAGCACCAACUGAUGCAGCUGCACCGCCAACUGCUGUAGCUGCAUUUUUUGCUGUAUCUUCAACUGCUGUAGCUGCAUUUUUUGCUGUAUCGACAACAGGUGUCCCGUUUGCUAUUGUGGUGGCCAUAACCACUAGUAGCACAAGAAGCACUCCGCUUGCUUUGUGAGAACCCACCAUUUUUUAUUCUCUUUUUAUUGAUUUUGUUUUAAUACUUUUUUUUUCUUCUUUUGUUUAUUCUCUUCUUCUUUUGUUUUUGUGUUUAUUGAUGUUUUGUUCUGAUGAUUCGAAAGUCCGUUUUAUAGAGGAGCAAAGGGAGAUAGAAAACCACAAACUCUUGCAUUAGCUAAAAAUAAUUCCGAGGAUUGUGCUCAAGGCAGAAGAAUGACCAAUUCAUGGAGGCCGAUCCCUUUUUUUUGGCAUCACUCAAGAUAUAUUUAUAGAUUUUUGACCAAAAUCAUAUAUUAAAGAUAAGGUAUGGUGAAUAAUUCAACUACAAAUUAAUACAUUGAUGAGAGAAAUCUGCCUCUUUAUUCUACUAGUUUGAAGUUUAAGUCUCAAUAGUUUUGGGUAAAUAGAAGGCGAAAAAGAACCGGCCUCAUCAAGACAAGGUUUGAUACUUCAAAACAUUUUCACACUGUGUCAGUGUCUCAAUAAAAUUUUAGAACUCUUAAUGAAAUAACGUUUAUUUUUUUUGACAAAUUUAUAUAGUCUAAUACUAACUUUUUGCUUUCUUUUUAUUAAGCUUACAUUGAACCAACGGAGCCAUUGUUAUGUACAACAAAUUAAUCAUAUGGGGACUAUAUAUAUACAUACAUACAUGAUACAUGGACUAGUUAACAAUUUGAGGACCCAUCAGCUUCCCCAUCCGACCAUGGUUCCGGGGCGGGAAAACGCGAGUCCUCGAUCAUACAUGCGUUGAAUCUCUUCUCUGUAUUCAGUCAGAGACUCAUCAGGAAUUGUUGGAGUCAGCUCCACCACAUCACCCAUCUUCAGCUUCCACUUGAGGUCACUUACAGGUAUUUGGUUCAGUCUUGGCCUUAGUUCUUCCUUUGCUGGUAUGCCAUACAUGGACCACCUCGAGCUCCCUGGCCCCGCCCGGCUCAGCAGAUCCGAGACUGUUGAACUCGCUGGAAAUUCUUGCACAGACAUCUGCAUAUUCCGAUUUGUUCAGUAUAACAAUCAAGUGUACAACUCUUUUGUACUCGACAAGAUAGGUUUAUAACAAACCUUAUCAUUUUCGAUUACAAUGACAUAGACUGGUCCAUCCUGGCUACUGUUAGGCUUGUAAGAAGCUGGGCAGUCCUCAGAGUGAGACGGAAACUUGCAAGGGGGUUUGAUGGAAUCUGAAGAACUUAUGGAAGAUCGGUCUUUGCUCAUUGCUUCGCAAUGCCAGGUUACGACCCACCGAGCCCAUUCAACCAUCUGAAGCACAAACGAAGAGUAUUUGCAGCCACCUUCCUUGUAUCUCCAAUGAGCUGCAAACCCAAAUUCUGCUUGCAAAUGCAUCUCCUGUGUACGUAUUUGGACUUCAAGUGGAACUGUUCCAUUGUCCAUCACUACCGUGUGCAAAGAUUGAUACCUAAAAUCCAAAUUACCAAAGUCAGAUUCAUUACCUUUUAACAAGCCACAACCAACCACAACUUAAACUAUGAGAUAUGGAGAUAUGAACUUACCCGUUGAAUUUGGGAUGAGUUAUGUAAUCCUUCAGCUUUCCAGGAACUUCAGACCAUAAACUAUGAACUACUCCUAAGGCCUUGUAACAAUCUCCUUCGUUGUCAACAAUCAAACGUAACCCAUGAAUGUCAUGAAUUUCAUCCACUGUUAGCUUUUUCCUGGUACAAUCGAAUAGACAACAACAUUAGUCUUCUAGUUUCACUCACAUCUUUUGUUCUGUAAAAGGGAGGAAAUAUAACUUACUUUAACAUCUUGCUGUAAAUACUAUACAAGCUCUUGUGCCGGCCACAAAGAACAUGAUAAGAAAUGCCUGCUUUCUUAAGAGCUUGCUCCAAUUUCUCUAUUGCAGAAGUAAUCAUGGCUUCAUCGAAUGAAUCCUCGAGCAUGGUUGACAUCUCAUUAUGCUGGUUUGGGUAAAGAUGUUUGAAACAAAGAUUUUCAAGCUGAACUUUCCAGGUAGAGAUUCCCAAACGAUUAGCCAAAGGUGCAAAUAUUUCCAACGUCUCUUUAGCAAACCUCUGCUGCUUCACUGGGGACAAAGCGUAAAGCGUCUUCAUGUUGUGUAAUCGAUCAGCCAGUUUUAUAAGAACAGCUCUUGCAUCUGCCAUUGCAAGAAACAUUGUGUGCAAACGAUCUGCUUCAACAGUUUUACACGCCGUAUUGUUCUCUCUAGCGAGUUUGCUCAAUUGGCUAAGCUUCGAAACCUAUACAAAACAAACAUACACAUGGAAGACAAAGGUCAAUGAAUGCUGAAAAACUCUGCCUUUACAAGUGACCAAGCAACCAAACAAAUAGCUCCGACAUAAGUUAAUCAAUGAGAGUACAUAUUUCUUACCCCUUCAACCAAAUCAGCAACUCCUGCUCCGAAGUUUCUGAGAAUAUAAUCAUAGCUCAUGAAAGAAUCGUCAAUGGUAUCAUGAAGAAGGCCAGCAACAACAACAGUUGAGUUAGCUCCGAUAUUAGCCAACAACAUAGCAGUCUCAACACAAUGCUGAAGGUAAGGAUCACGACUAGCUCUCAUCUGAUAAAACACACAUGAAACGAAAAGUUGAGUCACACUAAAACCAAACAAGAAUCUAAAACUAGUGAUUGAGAAUUGUAUCUUUUCCUACUUACUUGUCCUCUAUGAGCUUUCUCUGCUUCAUAAAAAGCUUUGAUCACAGAUUCAUCAUUGAAAAUCUUGUGUCUCAAUUGUGCACGUCUUAGCAAAUCCCUAGCAUAUGGCUUUAUCGUAUCAACCUCCAUAGGAAACGUUAGCUCAUCAACGAGAACAGAAUCCGAUCCGAACUCGUAAUCAACACAUGAUCCAAGAGCUUUCCUAACGAAACCAUUGAACAAUCCACUAGCUCCUAAACGAAACGAACCAUCUAGAUUCCGAUCACGAGACAUUCUCAUCGGAGGGCUACAACUACACGAGACCGGACCAUGAAGCACAGAGAUAGGGCUUUGGUGAUCUCGUCUAAAUGAAUUCACAAAUUUCGCCGGAGAAUAACCAAAGGAGCUGCUAAAGCUCAGAUCUUUCAAAUCAUCACUCCGAUCAUAGCGUAGUGAAGAGAACUCAUCUACUCCGGUUGAGUAUGAGCAAGAGGAAGAAGAUGAAGAUUUGACUGAUGCGCUGGAGAAAAGUGAAGAGAGACCUCCAACGAUUGGUUUCUGCGGCGAGGAAGCCAUGGAAGAGGAUGUUGACGAACUCCUGGAGGUGAGAUCGAGAUCACAUGAGAUCUGAUGUGGCGUGGAACAAACGCUGCUUGGUGGACUCGCGUAAAGUGCUAUAGUCGUCGCCACCACCAUUGGAGCUCGUUGGUUCUGCUUUAUAAUCCUAAAGUUCAGUUUUUUCUCUCUCAGAAAUCAAAGAAUUAAAAUUAUCCAAUUCCCAGAAUUAGCUCCCAAAAAUCGUCAAAUUUCCCGGGAAUUUAAAGUCACCGUUUUUCUAUUGAAACAAACAGAUUAACACAAAACCCACAAAUUCUAACACGAAACCCAGAUGGAUUUUGAGUUGUACAAGGAACUUUAAUACAGAGGAAGAACAGAACAAAGCCUAAAGUAUGUACAAUUUAUACGAGUUUGGAAAGAAAUUGAAGAAGGGGAAAAAUCGUAGAAACGAGUCUAAUGGAGACAAGAGGGUGUGUGAGGAGGAAGAAGGAGAAGAAGAAAGUUAGACGCUUUGCUUUAAGGACGAAAAUUAAUCUUUGAUUUUUCUCUUCGAAAUUAGAAACUACUACUCUCUCUCUUUUUCCUCUGUUCUUAUUCGUCUGUUUAAGUUCGGCCGACCAAAACUAAACCGAUCAAUACUACUAUUACCGAAAUACCCUUUUACGUAAUCGGUAAUUAAUUACUGAGUUAAGUGGGUUUAUUACAGUCUAAUCUUGUUAUGUCGUUAUCCAUUGCUGUUCGUAAAUAAUUAUUAAAAUCUUUGUAUUGGGUAUAGAAUAUAUAAUCUAAUUUUUCUAAUGCUUUAUCCACGAGCCAAGAUUUAUGAAAUCUUCCGUGAUAUUAUAUCUAAAUUUGUGGUUAAAUCAACUUGUCCUCCAAACUCAAAACACAUAUAGAUUAAUGCUAAAAGAAUAAUCAAAGCUAAUUCGUUGUGUGAUUAAAGAGACUUGUGUCAUUAAAAAAAUGAUGACACACUAAAAUGAUUAAGAAUAUAUCCUAUCAGAUGACAUCGAUAUCUCAACUCCAAUUUGGCUAUAAAAUAUUUAAAAGCAUAGUUUAUGGAGUACUAGUCACUAAAUGGCUUUUGUGUGCUGAUUAAAGACAUUUUAAGUUAAUUGUACUUUAACCUAACUUGUGUGAUAAACUACAAGUCUCAUACUUAGAUCUAAUAUUUCUUCUUCGAAUAUUUUUGUAUGUAAAUUUUGAAAACUUAGUAAAACUCAAAUCCUAAUAAGACUCUGAUAAAUCUAAAUAUUUAGCAUGUAGGUUUUCUAUAUGAAUUGAAUGUUUAGGUUUUAUAAUAGAAUUUCACACUAAUGAGUACUCCAAUAAGCAUAUCAUUCUUUAACCAAACGAAUACAUAUAAAACUCAACGACAACUUUCUAUAAUUUUAUUCCUGUUUCAAAUAAGAUAUUCGUAAUCACUAUUAUUCACAUAUGCUUUCUCUAGCUUCACGCCAAUGCAUGAUGACACCGCCAUUUUUAUUUUUGUAAGUUAUUGAAUUAAUCAGAUUUAUUUUAGUAUCUUCAUUAUCCACUUGGGAUUUUUUUUUUUUUUUAAAAUGAAGAUAGGCUUAUAGCACAGUGUCAACGGCAGCUGAGUCAUGCCAUCUGUAUCAGCGUCAACUUGAAUCACUUGAUCCACUUUUAACUAGUCUCAAUAUGGAUUAUGGCGACUGUUUACCAAAAAAACAAUCUCUUUAUUACUAUUUAACAUAGUUGUUUUACUUUUUGGCAAAUGGAAUUUGUUACUUUAAACAUGAACAAAAUAUCAGCAAAUUGUACAAAAAGGGUCCACCAUGAGAUUUAUGUUUGUCUACUACUUUUCGUUUUUACUUUCUAUCGUUUUAUUUCGUUUAUUUCGCGAGGUCUCGUCAUUGGUUAUUUUUUGCAUCAAUAAGAGGAAUCUGAAUCGAACCCACAUUGCUGGCUUGGUUAAUAACUCUUCGAAGCCGUCUACUCAAAUAGUAUUAGCUUGAUGAUACUAAUAAAGGGUGAUAAAGUUUAUAUCUACAAAGGUAAAUAUAAAUCUAUUUAUAAAUAGCAUGGAAUCGAUAUGCAAUUUGAGACUCGGUUGAUUACUAGAUUAUUCAACAGAAAAAAAGAAAACUACAUGUAUAGUGAAAUCAAUUCCUUCAAAUGGAACUAACACAGUCAAACAUGAUUGGUUUAUUGAGGAAAAAAAAAGAUGGAUGGUUAAUGAUAUCAAGGCAAGGGCAACAGUGACAUUUUGAUGCAUUGAUGUUGGAUUCAUAAAACCCUUCAAAUAUAUUGUAAGUUAAUAUGCCCGAUAGUCUAGAAGAUAGGAAGGGAGUGUUGAUAAGGACACACCGACGCGUUCCGGAGAAAAACUUUAGAAAGAAGAAUUGAACUUGACACGCGUCUAAUUUGGCGGCCAUUAGAAAAAAAAUGGGUGUCACGCUCAUAUCACGUGUCCAUACCCUAGCAUCAACUCCAUGACUUGUGGGGAUCACGGUGUCUUUUUAAACAUCAAACGGCUACGGUUGAGUCUUCUUCGGCUUGAACUCAGUUACAGCCGUAAAUCUACUUCUACGGUUGUUGAUAGUCAGCUGGUCAAAGUCUGAUACAUUCUGUAUCACGUGCGUCACGUGUGUUAGUGUAUUAAUAUGAUAUUUUCGUUUUUGUAUGUCGACGGCGGAAGAAGAUUCAUAUAAUUCAAUUUUAGUUGGUUAGAGAAUAUUGGAUUUAUAUGCAGACUUGGAGAUAUUUAGUGGAAUCAGAUCGGUUAGUUUCGGUUUAUGACAAGAAGAUGUGGUCCCUAAAUAAUUGGGUAAUGUGAUUUGCGUAAGAAGCAAACGUAUUAUGAGGAUUAUGUCAGCUAUGACUUUAAGUCUUUAACCACGUGGAAUUGUUGCGUUUGCCUUCACGCAACUAGCCUCCUUACACACGCAUCCUCGUUCCGGUUUUCUCUUAACCGAGAAAAUAACACGCUCGUGUAUAUUACUCUGGCUUAGUUUGAGUAAGCUUAUUCAUUAGCCCAUUACUCUAGCUCCUGGACUGGGCUGAAAACUAAGUAUUUUGGGUUUAUAAAACCCAAUGAUUUAUAUCACUCUUUUUAGUGUUUUUACAAAAACAAUUGGGAACCCAAAGAAUUUUGUCAAAUUCGUAAAACCCACUGAAGUACAGCAAAGUUUGAAGCAAAGAAAAUAUGUUUUUUAUACUAACAAAGCAUAAUCAUGAUUUAUACCUUUUAAUCCAGGGUGAUUUAGGUGAGUGAUCUAAUUUUGAACAAAAAUUUAGUAAAUGACUACGCUAACAACAAACUGGUGAAUAACAAAAAUUAAUAUCCUACACUUGUGCGAAAUCGUGUGUAUAUAUACUCGAAUGAUAUAAUAUCUUCAUACUCAUAACCGGAAAAAAAAGAAAGAGAAUUGAAGUAUAUAUUUUCUUUGAAGUUAGGGAGAACAAAACAUCUAGCUACCGCACAAAUAUGAAGUACCUGCAUAUCAUGUAAGUCAACACAUAAAAAUAUGAACAGCAAUAUCUUUUAGCCGACAAGAAUCUUACGGACCAAGUUUUUCUCAUGGUCCAACAAUUCAAAGUUCCCUUUGUUUUUCAUAUCUUGUUUCUUUCAUACUGUUUCAUAUAUAGUUCAUGACAUCUUUUUAAUAAAGAAGUUUUUGACAUUUUUGUGACAGAAUUGUUAUACGCAAAUUAAAUUUUUACAUAUAAUUUUAGACAGAAAGAAAUUGAAAUAUAUAGUUUAGACGGAUAUUUAAAACACCCCCAAAAUUAUGAAGGUAAUUAAUUUGAUACUCAAAAGUGAGAUAAUUUAGUUAUACAAGAAAAAAACGAGGUUGGUCGACGUAGCCGGACAUGGGACAGAAAGAUAAGCCUAAGCCAGGAGCGGCAAAAGCAGCCGUUUCCACCGUCAUGCGCUGCUGGAUGGUGGCGGCUCCGGCUUCCUCGAACUCUUUCACUAUAGUACGAUAAUACGCUUUGAUCUUCUUCACGAGCCUCACGUAGUACAGUCUCAGCCACUUGAGUCUCAUCCUCGUCACCACCUUCUUGAGCGAGAAACUACCACGUGGCGUACUGUUUUUCCCGCCGAGACGCACAACUUGUGGUUUACGACGACGGAGAUAGAUCUUUCGGCGACUCGACGGCCACCGGAAUGCGCUGGAGGCGGCAGUGAUGACUAAAUGGGGAUCCAUAGAAAUCCCGCGAGAGAAUUUUUUAGAAGGAAGAAAGUGAAAGAUGGUUUAAGGAGUUAGAUUGAUGAGAAACUUGUAUACUUAUAUAAAGAGGUAGUAAGAGCCAUGAAAUUUGUUAUGUGGUGACUUUAUGACUAAAUAUGACAUAUUACGUAAUUUCCGUGAAGUGAAUAAUGAAGAAGGCCAGUAAGUAGAUAAGCUUAGACAAAAGAGUAAGCCAUUGUAUGUCUUGCUGUAGAAGACGACACAAAAUUACGUAGCUCAAGGGACCCAUUUUGUCUAUAUAUUACAUAGAAAGUCCACUUUAGUUCGGUUUUUAUAAGUUGUAGUGAAAACCAUUCACCCGAAAAUGAUAUGUUUCUUGACUUCUGAAUAGUUUGUGUGUGCGUUAAUUAAUGGACGGCUUGUGUUUAUUUCAUUUAUUUAUUUCUGCUUUGAUGUUGACUAAUGCUAUAGUACUUUUUUGCUCUUAUAUACACAAAUUUUCUCUCAUCAAAUUUUGACAUUUUAAUUGACUGCAUAAUUCACCUUUUUGCUCUUAUAAACACAAAACGUUUAUGGUAAAAAACAAGGUUUUUCGCAUUUGAUAACCAUGACAUCAACGUGGCUUCACAGUCCGCAUUUAACUUAUAGUGAUCCAAAUAUAGCAUAUUGUCAAAUUGAAAUCAAACAAGAAUCUAAAAGUUUACAAAUGCCAAUCGGAUUUUCUGCUCAUUCACACCCCAUGCAUAGUGGUCUAACCCAAGAGUGAGGGCUCAUUAAUGAGUAUACAGAUCGGCCCAUUAACAACAUGGCCCUUUUAACAAACCCGACAGGACUUUUUUCUUUUUAAUGAAAACAUACAACCAGAGCCCAAUUUCAAUGAUCAAUCAGAAGGACUGAACUGAUCCCUGACCCCAUUGGACGGCCACCGGACUCUUAACAACGUGUUCACCGUCUGUCCAUUCGAUCGACCCGAAUUCAUGACCCGGCACGGAUCCGACUCCUCCGCCGAGCACAACGCUCUUAAAUGUGACUUCAUACUCCAACACGCUCUUCUCCUUGCUGAACGCAAGCUUGCUUGGAGAAACAUCAAUCUCAACAUUCGCCGGAGAUUUAACUCCGACUUCGUACACAGCGUCGACAUUGCUUCCCACGUUUUUGACAACCCUUUUGUAUUUCACAACUUCCCCGGUCGAUGCGAAAACCACGGAGAAAGAUGGGUAAUUGAGAUCGCCGGCGGUUCUUAGCUUGCUCGUUUCACAUGCGUCGUAAAGAGUUGGAUCUUGAAGAAAGACUAGAAUCCCCGGAAACUCGUAUCCCACGGCGCAGAGGAAAGCUACGUACUCUUUGACCUCGAUGUCGUAAACCAAACCAGGAUUCAAAGCUUUGUUUGGAUCGACGUGUCCAGCUCCGUGGAUGAAUGAGUUCGAUGAUUUACCGGUGGCGAGAUCCUCGAUUGGUUCGCCGGAGUUUUCGACAUCGUAAGCGGUGGUUACAAGGGCGGAUUUGAUUGCUGCAGGUGACCAAUCGGGAUGAGCUUUACGGAGGAGAGCGGCGAGUCCACUAACGUGUGGGCACGACAUCGAUGUACCGGAGAUGAUGUUGAAUUGAACCCGUCUUGGAUCGAUAUCUAAAUCGGUAGGACCAACCAUCCCGGUCCAACCGGCUAAAAUGUUGACUCCAGGAGCAAUCACGUCCGGUUUAAGAAUAACCGGUGUCAAGUGAUUCGGUCCACGGCUGGAGAAAGCGGCGACUCUGGGAGAAGGAGGAGAUGGUCCGAUCAAAGUGCCUAGGAAACUGAUUUUUGCAGUGGGAGAGUCUGAUGUUUUGAUGUAGUCGCGGAUUUGAUCUCCAGCUUUAGCUCCAACCAUUGUCGCCGGGACGAGAUGCGAAUCGGCGGUUAAUUCUUCACCGCUUUCAGCUGUGUUCGCCAGAAUCAUACCAGCACCACCGGCUAGCUUGACUGCACUUCCUUUCUCAACUCUUGCGUUGCCUCCUCUGUCACAGAGCACGAUUUUGCCUUCAACCAAUGAUGAAUUCAAUUUCCCAGGGUAACACAAUCUGCUUCCGCAAUCGCCGGAAUAUACCAGAGAAAGUUGAGAAUCCGGUAGAGAUUCGCCUGCGUACAGUGAUGUUCCCGUGAAGACUUUCCCGUCUCCCGUGAUUGCGUUUGCGGCGAAUUCUCUAUCGACGGUGGACGCACCAACGGUUAAGAUCCAUGGAGCGAUGUUCGUCGCGGUUUCAGGAUUAGGACCAGAAUUCCCAGCGGAGCAAGAAACGACGAUGCCGUGCCGCGUGGCUCCAAAUGCUCCGAUCGCUAUAGAGUCCGUGUGAUACUCCGGGGCGGAACCGCUGGCUCCGACGGAGAGAGAGAUAACGUGAACACCGUCGGCAACCGCCUGAUCCAUGGCGGCGAGGAUAUCGGAAUCGUAACAUCCGCCGGUCCAACAGAUUUUGUAAGCGGCGAUUCUCGCCUUUGACGCCAUCCCAGUAGCUGUUCCGCGCGCGUACUGGUACAAACUCGCGUUAGCAACCACCGAUCCAGCUGCCGUAGAUGCCGUGUGCGUGCCAUGACCUUCUGUAUCACGCGGCGAUCUCGAUUCCUUGGCUGCAUGCUUUUUUGUUCCAUUCCGUUGCGUUAAAUAUCCCCUGUAAAACGCUCGAGCUCCGAUAAGCUUCCGAUUGCAAGAUGAGGCAGGAAAAUCAGGUCCGAUCUCGCACUCGCCUUUCCAGGUAGAUGGAAUUGGACCGAGACCUGAAUCCGAGAAACUUGGAUGUUCCGGCCAGAUUCCAGUAUCUAAAACGCCGACGAUCACGUCUUCCCCGUAAUUUGAGUUGCUCCAGAGUCCAGAGUUUUGGGAGAAACCGAGGAAGGCAGGCGUGUGAGUUGUGUGGAUCUCACGCGCUUGAUCAGGUAUAACGGAGAUGACUGAAGGAUGACGGCGGAGGGCGGCGGUUUGGAUAGGGGAGAGACGAGCGGAGAAGCCAUGAACGGCGCGUGAAUAAGAGUAGAGCAGCGUUGCUGGUUGGGGAGAAGAAGGGAGAGAGCGAAGGAGAGAGACGUGCCAGUUGUUGUGGGAGG
rnacentral:lncRNA from 1 species